GUGAUCACUUCAGCAGCACAUAUGCUAAAAUUGUAAUGAUACAGAGAAAAUUAACAUGGCC
rnacentral:snRNA from 1 species